rnacentral:rRNA from 1 species
CCUAGAAGAAAAAAGAAACCACCGCCCCCUACGACCCGAACAGAUCGACAGAUCGACCCACCACUUCCCCAAUCCCGAUCCCCGCCUUCCCCCGAUCCCAUCGCCACCGAUCCCUCCGCCUGAAUCGAACGCCACCACCGCACAACCCGCCAGCGCCAGCCCCGACGUCCUCCUCCGCCGCCUACGACAACCGCAGGCACCGCCCCGACCACCUCCUGCGCCGCCCUCCACCCUCCACCCCGACCACCUCCGCCGCCGCCCUCCACCUCGACCACCUCUGCCACUCCGACGCGACCUCCCCCCUCCUCCGGCUCGACCUUCCCUCCCUUCCUAUGCGACCUGCCGCGCGCCGCUGCCUGCAUCUCGUAUUUGUUACGCGCCGCGGAGAUCCCACCUGCGAUCUGCACCCUCCGCCUCCCCGAGGAUGCCGCCGGCAGAGGUCAGGCACCGCUCCCCCCGUCGCGUGCAGGCAGACGCGGACCACCUCGCGUGCCACGCUGGCCACACCGAUAACAGCGAGGCCAUUUUUGGUUCCUCAUCAAGCAGCAGCCGCUGCCCCCUAGAAGUUCAGAAUUCUGAUGGCGACGUCCAACUUCGGCGAGUAGCACAGCACGACCAGGCCUCCCCGUUCAGAAGUCCAGGUUGUUCCUCCGUGCGAACGUGCACCCUCAACUCUGUAGUGCCUGAGAAGCCACAUGGGUAAACGGCCUAGGCAGAGAUGGAGAAGGGGCGCAAGAAGCUGCACGCCAGGGAUGCACUGAACUUCUUUAACCAGGUCAUGUUGGAGCAGCAACUGUUGCUGAUUCAGUGUUUGUGCAUGUCUUGGAGUGGGCAUCAGUCCAUGAUCACCAAAAAGAAGCUCAGGCACCAGCACUGGCUGUGAAAUGGGCACCACCUGAACCUGGGUGGCUCAAAGCGAAUGUGGACGGGGCGCUGUCGAAAUUCAGAGAGAGAGAGGUGGUGGCGGAGUGGUUCUACGCGAUCCUGACGGAGCUUUCAGGGGUGGGGCGUCCUUUGCUUUCCCGGGAGUUGUAGACCCUGAACUCGCCGAGGUGCUAGCCUGUCGCAAGGGAGUGCUUCUCGCAGCCCAGACUGGAGUUUCUCGUGUCCAUGUGGAUUGGACAACAAAAGAAUUGCAGCUAUGCUUAAAAUACACGGCGAUCAAUCUAUCGGCUGUAGGGCCAAUCAUUGAGGACGUGAAGAGGAUCUUGCAAUCCUUUGAAGCUUUUACGGUUACUUGGUUUAGGAGAUCAGGUAAUAAACUUGCACUGGAAAUACAAGGGCUGGUGAUUUGUGGAACUUGAGCUACAGAGAAUUGAGCACCCGGUGGAUCCACGACCGUCCUCCAUCUCCCCGAUGAUUCUGCCGGCAGAGGCUCCCCCACCACCGUGCAACCUCCUACCGGUGGGGCUCCACCACUGCAGCAUGGUGUUCAUCGGCGCCACCUCUGGGCCGUUCAACUGCGCCGCCACUAGAGGUUCACAACUGUAGCGUCCCUGAAACCACACUGCUGCCAUGCUCCCACGAGAUCUGGGCCUCAUAGUUUUGAUUUCAUACUUUUGGUCAUCGGCGCCCCUGAAAUAUGGUUGUUGAUGCUUGCCCUACUAUGCUACUACAAAUCUGUAGGCAAAAAAUCGAACUUCGCCAAAAACUAGAAAAAAAAGAUGAGCACAGACGCCCAUUGAUGUCUGCUGUGUUAUCCUACUUGAUGAAAAAAGGGAGCAUGUGCUUUCAUUUCACCUGAAGUGCCAACAUAAAAAAUCAGUUUUGGUUCUCCUGUAGUUAUUUCCCCAAGCUUGAGGGAGCACCGACCAUCCCCCAAAAAACGUGUUUUCUACCUUUUUUGUUCUGAGUGGUGAGAAAUAAGAGAUACAACAUGUCUUUGUUGGUAUGGCAACAAGCCGAGAG